GCGAACGGGAUUAGAUACCCUGGUAGUCCACGCUGUAAACGAUGUCGAUUUGGAGGUUGUGCCCUUGAGGCGUGGCUUCCGGAGCUAACGCGUUAAAUCGACCGCCUGGGGAGUACGGCCGCAAGGUUAAAACUCAAAUGAAUUGACGGGGGCCCGCACAAGCGGUGGAGCAUGUGGUUUAAUUCGAUGCAACGCGAAGAACCUUACCUACUCUUGACAUCCAGAGAACUUAGCAGAGAUGCUUUGGUGCCUUCGGGAACUCUGAGACAGGUGCUGCAUGGCUGUCGUCAGCUCGUGUUGUGAAAUGUUGGGUUAAGUCCCGCAACGAGCGCAACCCUUAUCCUUUGUUGCCAGCGGUUCGGCCGGGAACUCAAAGGAGACUGCCAGUGAUAAACUGGAGGAAGGUGGGGAUGACGUCAAGUCAUCAUGGCCCUUACGAGUAGGGCUACACACGUGCUACAAUGGCAUAUACAAAGAGAAGCGACCUCGCGAGAGCAAGCGGACCUCAUAAAGUAUGUCGUAGUCCGGAUUGGAGUCUGCAACUCGACUCCAUGAAGUCGGAAUCGCUAGUAAUCGUAGAUCAGAAUGCUACGGUGAAUACGUUCCCGGGCCUUGUACACACCGCCCGUCACACCAUGGGAGUGGGUUGCAAAAGAAGUAGGUAGCUUAACCUUCGGGAGGGCGCUUACCACUUUGUGAUUCAUGACUGGGG
rnacentral:rRNA from 1 species